UUCGGCGCACAGCUCAGUAACACGUGGCUAACCUGCCCUUGGGACAGAAACAUCCCCGGGAAACUGGGGCUAAUUUCCGAUAGGUGAAGACUCCUGGAAUGGAUUUUCGCCGAAAGGGCGCUUAGGGCAUGCUUCUAGGCGUUGCCCAAGGAUGGGGCCGCGGCCGAUCAGGUUGUUGGUGAGGUAAUGGCUCACCAAGCCUUUAACCGGUACGGGCCGUGGGAGCGGUAGCCCGGAGAUGGGCACUGAGACAAGGGCCCAGGCCCUACGGGGCGCAGCAGUCGCGAAAACUUCGCAAUAAGCGAAAGCUUGACGGGGCCAUCCCGAGUGCCAUCUGCUGAGGAUGGCUUUUAUCCAGUAUAGAUAGCUGGGGGAAUAAGGAGAGGGCAAGUCUGGUGUCAGCCGCCGCGGUAAUACCAGCUCUCCGAGUUGUAGGGAUGUUUAUUGGGCCUAAAGCAUCCGUAGCCGGCUGGACAAGUCCUCUGUUAAAUCCAGCGACCAAUCGUUGGUCUGCGGGGGAUACUGUCCGGCUAGGGGGCGGGAGAGGCCGUCGGUAUUCUUGGGGUAGGGGUGAAAUCCUAUAAUCCCAGGAGGACCACCAGUGGCGAAGGCUGUCGGCUAGUACGCGCCCGACGGUGAGGGAUGAAAGCUGGGGGAGCGAACCGGAUUAGAUACCCGGGUAGUCCCAGCUGUAAACGAUGCAGGCUAGGUGUUAGGUAGUCUACGUGCCGCUCUAGUGCCGCAGGGAAGCUGUUAAGCCUGCCGCCUGGUUACAAAGC
rnacentral:rRNA from 1 species